CGGACCUGGUAAAUGUAUCAUAGUGUAUGUAGAGCAAGUCAAUCAGCUAUAGGCUGUAUAUGUUUCCAAUAUGAAGCAACGAUGCAGCUGGACGGACCUGGUAAAUGUAUCAUAGUGUAUGUAGAGCAAGUCAAUCAGCUAUAGGCUGUAUAUGUUUCCAAUAUGAAGCAACGAUGCAGCUGGACGGACCUGGUAAAUGUAUCAUAGUGUAUGUAGAGCAAGUCAAUCAGCUAUAGGCUGUAUAUGUUUCCAAUAUGAAGCAACGAUGCAGCUGGACGGACCUGGUAAAUGUAUCAUAGUGUAUGUAGAGCAAGUCAAUCAGCUAUAGGCUGUAUAUGUUUCCAAUAUGAAGCAACGAUGCAGCUGGACGGACCUGGUAAAUGUAUCAUAGUGUAUGUAGAGCAAGUCAAUCAGCUAUAGGCUGUAUAUGUUUCCAAUAUGAAGCAACGAUGCAGCUGGACGGACCUGGUAAAUGUAUCAUAGUGUAUGUAGAGCAAGUCAAUCAGCUAUAGGCUGUAUAUGUUUCCAAUAUGAAGCAACGAUGCAGCUGGACGGACCUGGUAAAUGUAUCAUAGUGUAUGUAGAGCAAGUCAAUCAGCUAUAGGCUGUAUAUGUUUCCAAUAUGAAGCAACGAUGCAGCUGGACGGACCUGGUAAAUGUAUCAUAGUGUAUGUAGAGCAAGUCAAUCAGCUAUAGGCUGUAUAUGUUUCCAAUAUGAAGCAACGAUGCAGCUGGACGGACCUGGUAAAUGUAUCAUAGUGUAUGUAGAGCAAGUCAAUCAGCUAUAGGCUGU